AUUGAACGCUGGCAGCAUGCUUUACACAUGCAAGUCGAACGGUAACAGGCCGCAAGGUGCUGACGAGUGGCGAACGGGUGAGUAAUGCAUCGGAACGUGCCCAGUCGUGGGGGAUAACGCAGCGAAAGCUGCGCUAAUACCGCAUACGAUCUAUGGAUGAAAGCGGGGGACCGUAAGGCCUCGCGCGAUUGGAGCGGCCGAUGUCAGAUUAGGUAGUUGGUGGGGUAAAGGCUCACCAAGCCGACGAUCUGUAGCUGGUCGGAGAGGACGACCAGCCACACUGGGACUGAGACACGGCCCAGACUCCUACGGGAGGCAGCAGUGGGGAAUUUUGGACAAUGGGCGAAAGCCUGAUCCAGCAAUGCCGCGUGCAGGAAGAAGGCCUUCGGGUUGUAAACUGCUUUUGUACGGAACGAAAAGGCUCUGGUUAAUACCUGGGGCUCAUGACGGUACCGUAAGAAUAAGCACCGGCUAACUACGUGCCAGCCGCCGCCGUAA
rnacentral:rRNA from 1 species